rnacentral:lncRNA from 1 species
CCCGCCGUAUCUCAAAAACAACAAAUGAUUAUUGCUUAAAACUUUCUCAGAAACUAUUUAUGAUUAUUGCAUAAAACUUCCACACAAGGCGUCGGGUGCUCAUGGCACAGCUGUUUAUUAUUAUUUUAAACCCCAGCUUUAAACACCGCUUUAAAAUCUUGGGGGUAAACAGUUUUAUCUCUGUCUGUCCAUCCAUUUGUCAGUCCGUCUGUCCCAUGAAUAUUUUCGUCGCAUUUUUCUCAGGAACUACUUGACAAGGAUUUAUAGAACUUGGUUUUAGGGUUAUAUAUAAGUCAGCUACAUGUAUACCCUGUAAUGCGUUUUCAGAUUUAUCACUCAACAACUAACUUCCUGCUUAUCGAAAACUUGUAUCAUUUUACACAUGAUAGCCAAGUUUUGGACAAUCAAUGCAUUUGAAUGAGGAAAUAUGGUUUAACUCUCCCCCUAAACACUGAUCACUGACAAGUUCAAUAAAUAAAUUUGGGCAAUUGGCUAUAAAUACAUUGCGUGCUAUAAAUAUUUCUUAUCAACUAAAACAUUCAAGGCGUAACAAUAAACACAAAUACGACAAAAUAUUCUUGUCAAAAGCUGUACAUAUAUUUUAUAUAGCAUCUCCUUCUGGCAUCAACACUUUGUGGUGUAAUUGCAAUUGUCAGGAAGACCUUUUAUGUCCACUGGUUGAGGUGUUGCAUGUAGAAAAAUUAAUUAAAAUCACUCCACACAGUGAUUAAGAUUCAAAUUCACUUCAUUACAUUAGUUAAAGUAUUAUAACUAAACAUACUAAAAGAACGAUUGUGAAAAUUUGCGAUUUUUGUACUUAUAAUCCCCCCCCCCCCCCACCCCCCAAAAAAAAAAAAACAAAAAAAAACAGUUUCCUUUAAGCUACAUGUACACCUAUUUUUAAAUUCAUUGAAAUAAAGGACACAUCAUGCACAUUAAAGAAAAAAAUACAUUUGAAAAUACUUGUAGUAGUACAAUGUAGCUUAUAAACUUGUAAUAGACCUGGCUUAACAUUGAAUUGUUAGUUUGUCUGACCUUUCAAAAUAAGUGAGCAAAAAAAAUAAAAAAGAAAGCAUAGCAUCCUCCCUAUUUUCAAUUGAUAAAAGGUUUGGCAGUUAAUUUGAAAUUAAUUCAAAGAUCUUAACCAGGGACGUGACAAUGUGAGAUUUGAUUGAUAAAUAUAGUUAUUUUUUUAAUUUGAAUUAAAAAAAAAUAUAUCUGUUUUUCACCAUAGAAGUUGAUUGGAAAUACUGCUGAUAU